GAUGAACACUGGCGGCGUGCCUAAUACAUGCAAGUCGAGCGAACAGACGAGGAGCUUGCUCCUCUGACGUUAGCGGCGGACGGGUGAGUAACACGUGGAUAACCUACCUAUAAGACUGGGAUAACUUCGGGAAACCGGAGCUAAUACCGGAUAAUAUAUUGAACCGCAUGGUUCAAUAGUGAAAGACGGUUUUGCUGUCACUUAUAGAUGGAUCCGCGCCGCAUUAGCUAGUUGGUAAGGUAACGGCUUACCAAGGCGACGAUGCGUAGCCGACCUGAGAGGGUGAUCGGCCACACUGGAACUGAGACACGGUCCAGACUCCUACGGGAGGCAGCAGUAGGGAAUCUUCCGCAAUGGGCGAAAGCCUGACGGAGCAACGCCGCGUGAGUGAUGAGGGUCUUCGGAUCGUAAAACUCUGUUAUUAGGGAAGAACAAAUGUGUAAGUAACUAUGCACGUCUUGACGGUACCUAAUCAGAAAGCCACGGCUAACUACGUG
rnacentral:rRNA from 1 species